rnacentral:rRNA from 1 species
CGGCAUGGAUUAGGCAUGCAAGUCGAACGGGAUCUGAAAUAUUCAAGUAGCAAUAUGAGAAUAUUUCAGUGAGAGUGGCGAAAGGGUGAGGAACACGUGAGUUACCUGCCCCUAAGUUUGGAAUAACCUUCCGAAAGGAGGGCCAAUGCCGAAUGUGGAUUACCCGUAAGGGGGACAUCUAAAGGUUUACCGCUUAGGGAUGGGCUCGCGUCCUAUCAGCUUGUUGGUGAGGUAACGGCUCACCAAGGCUGCGAUGGGUAGCCGGCCUGAGAGGGUGUCCGGCCACACUGGGACUGAGACACUGCCCAGACUCCUACGGGAGGCUGCAGUCGAGGAUCUUCCGCAAUGCGCGCAAGCGUGACGGAGCGACGCCGCGUGGGUGAUGAAGGCCUUCGGGUUGUAAAGCCCUGUUGCCUGAUAUGAAUGUCAGUCGGUGAAUAGCCGGCUGAUUGACGUCAACAGGCGAGAAAGCACCGGCUAAUUACGUGCCAGCAGCCGCGGUAAUACGUAAGGUGCGAACGUUGUUCGGAAUCACUGGGCAUAAAGAGCACGUAGGCGGCUUCGUAAGUCUGAUGUGAAAUCCCCCGGCUCAACCGGGGAACUGCAUCGGAUACUGCGGGGCUGGAGUGCAGUAKGGGAGAGUGGAAUUCCAGGUGGAGCGGUGAAAUGCGUAGAUAUCUGGAGGAACACCAGUGGCGAAAGCGGCUCUCUGGACUGCAACUGACGCUGAGGUGCGAAAGCCAGGGGAGCAAACGGGAUUAGAUACCCCGGUAGUCCUGGCCCUAAACGAUGGGUACUAAGUGGAGGGAGUUCCGAUACUUUCUCUGCUGGAGCAAA